rnacentral:rRNA from 1 species
GAUGAACGCUGGCGGCGUGCCUAAUACAUGCAAGUCGAGCGAACAGACGAGGAGCUUGCUCCUCUGACGUUAGCGGCGGACGGGUGAGUAACACGUGGAUAACCUACCUAUAAGACUGGGAUAACUUCGGGAAACCGGAGCUAAUACCGGAUAAUAUAUUGAACCGCAUGGUUCAAUAGUGAAAGACGGUUUUGCUGUCACUUAUAGAUGGAUCCGCGCCGCAGUAGCUAGUUGGUAAGGUAACGGCUUACCAAGGCAACGAUGCGUAGCCGACCUGAGAGGGUGAUCGCCCACACUGGAACUGAGACACGGUCCAGACUCCUACGGGAGGCAGCAGUAGGGAAUCUUCCGCAAUGGGCGAAAGCCUGACGGAGCACCGCCGCGUGAGUGAUGAAGGUCUUCGGAUCGUAAAACUCUGUUAUUAGGGAAGAACAAAUGUGUAAGUAACUAUGCACGUCUUGACGGUACCUAAUCAGAAAGCCACGGCUAACUACGUG